rnacentral:rRNA from 1 species
AUACGUAGGCAGCAAGCGUUGUUCGGAAUUACUGGGCGUAAAGCGCGCGUAGGCGGCUAAGUAAGUCGGAUGUGAAAGCCCUGGGCUCAACCUGGGAAUUGCAUUCGAUACUGCUUGGCUAGAGUACUACAGAGGAUAGUGGAAUUUCCAGUGUAGCGGUGAAAUGCGUAGAUAUUGGAAGGAACACCAGUGGCGAAGGCGACUACCUGGACCGGUUCUGACGCUGAGGCGCGAAAGCGUGGGGAGCAAACAGGAUUAGAAACCCCGGUAGUCC